rnacentral:rRNA from 1 species
GUGGGGAAUUUUGGACAAUGGGCGAAAGCCUGAUCCAGCCAUUCCGCGUGAGUGAAGAAGGCCUUCGGGUUGUAAAGCUCUUUCGGCAGGAACGAAACGGCCGUUUCUAAUAAAGACGGCUAAUGACGGUACCUGAAGAAGAAGCACCGGCUAACUACGUGCCAGCAGCCGCGGUAAUACGUAGGGUGCGAGCGUUAAUCGGAAUUACUGGGCGUAAAGCGUGCGCAGGUGGUUGUUUAAGACAGAUGUGAAAUCCCCGGGCUUAACCUGGGAACUGCGUUUGUGACUGGACAGCUAGAGUGCGGCAGAGGGGGGUGGAAUUCCACGUGUAGCAGUGAAAUGCGUAGAGAUGUGGAGGAACACCGAUGGCGAAGGCAGCCCCCUGGGCCAGCACUGACGCUCAUGCACGAAAGCGUGGGGAGCAAACAGGAUUAGAAACCCUAGUAGUCC